UGGAAUUGAAAUGAAAGAAGUACUUUGACCCACCCACAGCUGAGCCGUGUCAUAGAGGAGGGGCCACUCUGUGUGUGAGUUUGUGUGUCAGUCCUUCAUGUCAGCAUUCAUCAGUUCGUUUGUCACUGGCAGAAACUUUGAUGGCAGCAGCACAGUUGACCAUGAGUGGUGUCACAACUGCCAAAGGCUUAGUUAUGAUUUUGACUCUGCUGUGUGUGCUCCAUCUUUCAAGUUCCCUGAUAAACAAGGAUGAACUGGAGGAGUUGAAGGGAAACGUUGAAACUUUACAAAAGGAAACAGCGAGAAGGAAGGCUGAAAAUAAUUUAGACAGAGCCUACGUUCCAGUUAUUCUUGAUGAUGUUAAACGUCUCAUGGAUCCUAUGUUCGAACUUAUAAAGUCAAUGAAACGUUUUACAUCACUGCUUAACCAGUGUUGGAUUUAAUGGAUGACCUAAAGACUUUCAUUGGAGCCAGCAAGGAGUACAUGAAUAAGUACUUUGAGACAACAGCUGCAGAAAUCAAUGACAAUGAAGAGAAACUACGCAGUGUGAUGGCAACACUAACACAACUAGAAAAUAAUAAAGAUGAACUGUAGCAUGUUAGUCAGCGUCUGUCUCUGGUAUUAAAUGUUCUGUAUGUGAAAAACUUCUCUUUCAUACUGUGCUGCUUCUAAAUCAAAGCUAACUGAACACUUGACUUGUAAACUCUGACAAGAAUCGUUUUGUCACACUUUUUCACUGUCUUUGUUAUAUCAGGUCUAACGCAAACACAAAACACUAAACUGAGAUUUGUCUCUUUAGAAAUCAUAUUAAAUCUGACAGUUAAUGAUAAAACUGGUAUUAUUGGGUGUUUCUGCAAAUUGUGACAUUUGUAAUUAAAGACAGAAGCAGUUGCUGAUUGUUCUCUA